ACGCUCGACACCUACGGAGGCAGCAGUGGGGAAUAUUGCACAAUGGGGGAAACCCUGAUGCAGCGACGCCGCGUGGAGGAAGAAGGUCUUCGGAUUGUAAACUCCUGUUGUUGGGGAAAAAGAGGAUGGUACCCAACAAGGAAGUGGCGGCUAACUACGUGCUAGCAGCCGCGGUAAUCUGAGCGGGCUGGCAAGGC
rnacentral:rRNA from 1 species